rnacentral:lncRNA from 1 species
GUCUUCUCUGUUCCCCUAAGGGAGUUUCCCAGCAGAGGUGUGAGUUGCUUCUCUGCUCCACUCUGCAAAGAGAGUUUCUCAGCAGAGAUUCUGCUUCAUGCUGGUGAAAGAAGAUCUUUACCCAAAACUCUUUCAAGAGAUUUAAUUUGGGAAAGAGGAAUCCAGGAGAGUGGUUGCUUAUGUCAGGGUGAAGAAGGACAGCAGCCUACUGAAAAGUAUGUCAAGAGCAACUAAGCUUGGUGAGCUGUCACAGUCGUCAUGACGGGAUUAGAAUCUCUGCUUUUCUGAUCCUGUGGCUCCUGUCAUGGCAUUCCUGAGAAACAGGGGAGCACCAGGAGAGGAAUGUUCCACCCCCGCCUUUGAGGAUGCUACAAUCCAGUAUAUUCCACAAGGGAAAGUUUGGAGAGACCAGCAUCAUCGUUGGUAAAGUCACAUUGGUAAAACAAGAACCUAGGCCAGGCCAGAGACUAUCCCAGGAAUCACCUACAGCAAACUUGGUGGCAUCUAGGUAGAGGGUUCUUUGGAAAGAACCACAGAGGGUAAAGGUAGUGAGCAGGAGGGUCUAGGGACCUGGAGGGCACCUAACCCUUUCUGGCUCAAUCCUCAGGCCAAUAUCAUCCCCAGUUUUCUUGCCUUCUCUCAAACACUGCUGCAAACUUGUUUGAAACCCAUUGACUAUUUUACCUACUUCCAUCCAUUUACAAUGCCCCAAAUCUUUCAUGGGCUCAGUGACAUUUCCCUAAUUCUCAAGUCUGUCUCCUCAUAGACAGGAGAUCCUCAUGGAGACACUAAAACAGAAUUCCUAGGAUGGCUAUGAAGAUUCAGUAACAUCGUAUGUGUAAAGGACAUGGUGGAAAGUAUGUGCUCAAUCCAUUUCACAUAGAGGGAUACUCCCUCAGCCUAGACACUUGGGGAGGGCCUAGACCCUGUCCCAAAGGAUAUGACCGAUUCUGAAGAUGCCCCAUGGAAGACCUCAUUCUCUCUGGGGAGCAGAAUUGGUAUGGGAUAGUUGGGGGGGGGGAGGCAGGGAAAAGGGGGAGGGAAAGGGAACUAUGAUUGACAUGUAAAACAAUCUUGUUUCUAAUUUAAAUUAAAAAUGGAGAGAAAAAAAAGAAAGUAUGUGC